rnacentral:rRNA from 1 species
CCUGAACGCUGGCGGCGUGGUUAAGACAUGCAAGUCGAACGGGUGUAGCAAUACACCAGUGGCGGACGGGUGAGUAAUGUAUCGCUAAUGUACCCCGGAGCCAGGGAUAGCUACCCGAAAGGGUAGGUAAUACCUGAUGAGACCACGGAGAGGCAUCUCUCUGUGCUCAAAAGCCGUUAAGGCACUCUGGGAGCAGGCGAUAUCGUAUCAGCUAGUUGGGAGGUAACGGCUCACCAAGGCUAUGACGCGUAGCUGGUCUGAGAGGACGGCCAGCACAUUGGGACUGAGACACUGCCCAGA